rnacentral:tmRNA from 1 species
GGGGGCGUUACGGAUUCGACAGGUAUAGUUCGCGCUUGAAUUGCGUUUCGUAGGUUACGUCUACGUUAAAACGUUAACAGUUAAAUAUAACUGCUAAAAACGAAAACACUUUCGCUUUAGCUGCCUAAAAACAGCGGGUGAAGAUCCUUCCGGUAUCGCCCAUGUGCCGGGUAAGGGUCUCAAAUUAAGUGGGAUACGCUAACCGUUUCCGUCUGCAAUAGUUAGAAGAGUUCAUCAGACUAGCGAAGAAGCAUGUUUGUUUUGUGUCAGAUAUCUUAGCGAAACCUCAAACAUAAAACUAUGAACGUAGAUAUUGAAGUGGCGAUAUGCUUGGACGCGGGUUCGACUCCCGCCGCCUCCAUAU